CCUACGGGUGGCUGCAGUGAGGAAUAUUGGUCAAUGGACGCAAGUCUGAACCAGCCAUGCCGCGUGCAGGAAGACGGCCCUAUGAGUUGUCAACUGCUUUUGUACGAGGGUAAACGCAGAUACGCGUAUCUGUCUGAAAGUAUCGUACGAAUAAGGAUCGGCUAACUCCGUGCCAGCAGCCGCGGUAAUACGGAGGAUUCAAGCGUUAUCCGGAUUUAUUGGGUUUAAAGGGUGCGUAGGCGGUCGGAUAAGUUAGAGGUGAAAUCCCGAGGCUCAACUUCGGAAUUGCCUUUGAUACUGUGCGGCUAGAGAGUAGUUGAGGUAGGCGGAAUGUAUGGUGUAGCGGUGAAAUGCUUAGAGAUCAUACAGAACACCGAUUGCGAAGGCAGCGUACCAGGCUACUUCUGACGUUGAGGCACGAAGGCGUGGGGAGCAAACAGGAUUAGAUACCCGAGUAGUC
rnacentral:rRNA from 1 species